rnacentral:rRNA from 1 species
AUUGAACGCUAGCGGGAUGCUUUACACAUGCAAGUCGAACGAGUGGCGGACGGGUGAGUAAUAUAUCGGAACGUGCCCAGUAGCGGGGGAUAACUACUCGAAAGAGUGGCUAAUACCGCCUACUAUUGGAGCGGCCGUUAUCGGAUGAGCUAGUUGGUGGGGUAAAGUCUCACCAAGGCAACGAUCCGUAGCUGGUUUGAGAGGACGACCAGCCAUCCUGGGACUUAGACACGGCCCAGACUCCUCCGGGAGGCAGCAGUGGGUAAUUUUGGACAAUGGGGGAAACCCUUAUCCAGCCAUGCCGCGUGUAUGAGAAGGCCGUCGGGUUGUAAAGUACUUUUGGCAGAGAUGCGGUAUCUGCAGAAUAAGCACCGGCUAACUACGUGCCAGCAGCCGCGGUAAUUC